UCGUACGUUUUCCCUUUCUAAGGACUGUGGAUUCUUUUAGUUGGCCCUUUUUACAUGUUCCUCCAGCUGCCCAAAGGGACUCCUUCCAUGACAGACACUCUGGCAUCAUUCUUGACACAUCCCAGAUAUUUCCAUAUUCUUUUCUGGAUAACUAUGUAGAUAAGGAGUUGAACUCUGAUGAAUCUUGGCAUUUGUUAUAAAUUUAUUCCACGUAAUACCGGUAUUUCCCUGAGGCAUUUGCCUUUGAAUGCAUUUAGACAUUUUUCUAUACCAUUUGUGUUUUUCCAGCUUUCACGUCCAUAUGUUAAGGUGGAAAUAACAUUUGAGUUGAAGAUUCAUAGUUUGGUCUUUAAGUUGUAGAUUUUCAAUGAACAAAUCUUUUUAAGCUGAUGAAUGCAUCUAUUGCCAAUUCCUAAAUAUUAUUUCUUCUGGAUAUCUCUACUAUCUUGCACUAUCUACUAUCUUGCACUAGUAAGCUGGAAGAAUGACAGCUAUAGAAGAGUGCCUUGAAGGAAGAAGGAAGGUAGAAGGAAGGAGAGCCCUCAGAGCUCCAACAGGCACAUAGUGUCCCUUCAUCAAUGUUUACAGGAAGGGCACUGGUAGGGUGCGUCAAGGGAAUGAGACAUUAAGAAGUGGAUAGUAUGCUGGAAUUAGUUUUUCUACAGCAAGUGUUGUGAAGAAUUGACCAGUGAAUACUAUUUUUAGAACUGAGAUUCCAAUGUAAAACAAUGUAGGAACAUUCAUUUCACUUGAAUGGGGAAAUUGUGAAAUUUAGUGCAACAUAAAUAAAGUUCAGCUUCAGAU